AUUGAACGCUGGCGGCAGGCUUAACACAUGCAAGUCGAGCGAGCGGCGGACGGGUGAGUAAUGACUGGGCAUCUGCCUGAUGGCGAGGGAUAACUACUGGAAACGGUAGCUAAUUACGCAUACCAUCAGAUGUGCCCAGUUGGGAGUAGCUAGUAGGUGGGGUAAUGGCUCACCUAGGCGACGAUCCCUUGCUGGUCUGAGAGGAUGACCAGCCACACUGGAACGGUGACACGGUCCAGAAUCCUACGGGAGGCAGAAGUGGGGAAUAUUGCACAAUGGGCGCAAGCCUGAUGCAGCCAUGCCGCGUGUAUGAAGAAGGCCUUCGGGUUGUAAAGUACUUUAAGCGAGGAGGCGUUACUCGCAGAAGAAGCACCGGCUAACUCCGUGCCAGCAGCCGCGGUAAUUC
rnacentral:rRNA from 1 species